GUGAGGAAUAUUGCGCAAUGGAGGCAACUCUGACGCAGCCAUGCCGCGUGCAGGAAGAAGGCGCUACGCGUUGUAAACUGCUUUUAACCGGGAAGAAACCCCAGGACGUGUCCUGGGUUGACGGUACCGGAGGAAUAAGCACCGGCUAACUUCGUGCCAGCAGCCGCGGUAAUACGAAGGGUGCAAGCGUUAUCCGGAUUCAUUGGGUUUAAAGGGUGCGUAGGCGGAGCGUUAAGUCAGUGGUGAAAUCCUGCAGCUUAACUGUAGACUUGCCAUUGAUACUGGCGCUCUUGAGUGCGCUUGAAGUGGGCGGAAUGUGCCGUGUAGCGGUGAAAUGCUUAGAUAUGACACAGAACACCAAUUGCGAAGGCAGCUCACUAAGGCGAUACUGACGCUGAGGCACGAAAGCGUGGGGAUCGAACAGGAUUAGAAACCCUUGUAGUCC
rnacentral:rRNA from 1 species